rnacentral:rRNA from 1 species
CAAUACCCACACUCACUUUAAACCCUUUACUACUAUUAAGUAAUUUUAUAAGCCUAUAAAAGUCCUAAUGCUAAAACUAGUAACAAGAAAUUGAAUUUCUCCCAAAUACAAGCAUAAACCAAAAUGGACAAACCAUUGGUAAUUAACGUCAGUAAACUCACUAUAAUAACAAGUUCAAGAAAACAUUAUAGACUACACACGUUAACCUUACACAAGAAUAUUUCGGGAAAGAUUAAAAGAAAGGGAAGGAACUCGGCAAAUUUUAACCCCGCCUGUUUACCAAAAACAUCGCCUCUUGACUAACAUAAGAGGUCCAGCCUGCCCAGUGACACACUUAAACGGCCGCGGUACCCUGAGUGCGAAGGUAGCAUAAUCAUUUGUUCUUUAAAUAAGGACCUGUAUCAACGGCAUCACGAGGGUUAUACUGUCUCCCCCCUCUAAUCAGUGAAACUGACUUCCCCGUGAAGAGGCGGGGAUAAAAAUACAAGACGAGAAGACCCCAUGGAGCUUUAAACCCAACAAUAACCUUUAUCUAAACCCCCUUCAAAGAUAUAAAGACAUUAUCUGUUGGUUUUAGGUUGGGGUGACCGCGGAGAAAAACUUAACCUCCUUGACGAAUAGAUACAAUCCUAAUCUAAGAGCUACUACUCUAAGAUCAAAAUUGACGUAACAUGAUCCGAUAAUCGAUCAACGAACCAAGUUACCCUGGGGAUAACAGCGCAAUCCAUUUUCACCUAUCGACAAAUGGGUUUACGACCUCGAUGUUGGA